CUGGCGGCGUGCUUAACACAUGCAAGUCGAACGGGAGUAUUGAAGAAGCUUGCUUAGAGAUACUUUAGUGGCGGACGGGUGAGUAACGCGUGAGGAGCUGUCCUAUGCAGGGGGACAACAGCUGGAAACGGCUGCUAAUACCCCAUAAGCCGAGAGGUAAAGGAUCAAUCCGGCAGAGGAGGUACUCGCGUCCUAUCAGCUAGUAGGUGAGGUAACGGCUCACCUAGGCGAAGACGGGUAGCCGGCCUGAGAGGGCGAACGGCCACACUGGAACUGAGAUACGGUCCAGACUCCUACGGGAGGCAGCAGUGGGGAAUAUUGGGCAAUGGGGGGAAAAACCCCCUGACCCAGCGACGCCGCGUGGGUGAAGAAAUCCUUCGGGAUGUAAAGCCCUGUUGUAUGGGAAGAGCGGAAGACGGUACCAUACGAGGAAGCCUCGGCAAACUACGUGCCAGCCGCUGC
rnacentral:rRNA from 1 species